rfam:Deltaproteobacteria bacterium RIFCSPLOWO2_01_FTLL_45_74 rifcsplowo2_01_scaffold_29, whole genome shotgun sequence.
CAGACAACCAGGAGGUUGGCUUAGAAGCAGCCAUCCUUUAAAGAAAGCGUAACAGCUCACUGGUCAAGUGAGUCUGCGCCGAAAAUGUAACGGGGCUCAAAGUAUGUACCGAAGCUACGGGUGUAAAAGUUUCUUCGGAAAUUUUUACGCGGUAGAGGAGCAUUCCGUAUGCCUGUGAAGGGUCAUCGUGAGGAGGCCUGGAGGUAUCGGAAGAGAUUAUGCUGGCAUAAGUAGCGAUUAAACGCGUGAGAAACGCGUUCGCCGAAAUUCUAAGGUUUCCUGGGGAAGGUUAAUCCGCCCAGGGUGAGUCGGGUCCUAAGCUGAGGCUGAAAGGCGUAGGCGAUGGACAUCCGGUUAAUAUUCCGGAACCGCUGUUUGCAUGUUAUGCAACGGAGUGACAGAUUGGGAUAGUUCAGCCCCCUGAUGGAUGGGGGUUCAAACGCGUAGGAAGAUCCGCCAGGCAAAAUCCAGUGGAUCAAUUCCAAGGCGUGAUGUCGACCUGGAUCGCAAGUGAAAGGGAAGUGAUUGAAUCCUGGUUUCAAGAAAAGCUUCGUUGUGAUGUAGAUGGCGCCCGUACCGUAAACGGACACACGUAGAAAGGGAGAAUAUCCCAAGGCGCUUGAGAGAAUUCUGGUCAAGGAACUCUGCAAAUUAACGUCGUAACUUCGGAAGAAGACGUGAUCUUUAAAGUGUAGGUGCACAACCGAAGCUUUGAAGAUUCGCAGCGAAAUGGUGGCGGCGACUGUUUAUCAAAAACACAGGGCUGUGCAAAGUCGUGAAGACGACGUAUACGGCCUGACGCUUGCCCGGUGCUGGAAGGUUAAGGCAAGGGGUCAAUCUCGCAAGAGGUGAAGCUCUGAACCGAAGCCCCAGUAAACGGCGGCGGUAACUAUAACAACGGUUGUAGUUAUAAAAUUCAGCUAUAUGCGGGAAAGUCUGGUUAGUAUCGGAUGAUACUCGUUGGGUUUCAGCCCAGCAGUAAAAAUGCAUCCGUGCAGGCAAUCCGCAGGAAAGACUUGGAAAAUUUAAAAUUCAAAAUGCAAAGUGCAAAACCACAAUGCAAAAUGAAAAAUUUCAGUUUUCUCAAGAAUCCUCAGAGACUAUACGCUGAAUCCGAUUCCACUGAAUCGGAAUGAUAUAGUCCGAACCCUGUGGCGACAUAGGGAGAUAGUCUGAAAGGACUAUCCGCCCCGCACUUUCAAGAAAGUGCGGGGUUAUUAAAGUAACAACGCGAACCGUCCUAAGGUAGCGAAGUUCCUUGUCGGGUAAGUUCCGACCUGCACGAAAAGCGUAACGACUGCCACACUGUCUCGACCGGAAGCUCAGCGAAAUUGUAUUGGCCGUGCAGAUGCGGUCUACCCGCGGCAAGACGGAAAGACCCUGUGCACCUUUACUAUAACUUGGCAGUGAAUUUCGGGCUUGUUUGUGUAGGAUAGGUGGGAGCCUUUGAAACCGGGGCGCUAGCUUCGGUGGAGGCAACCUUGAAAUACCACCCUGACUAUUCUGGAAUUCUAACUGACACCCCUAAUCGGGGUGCAGGACACUGUCUGGCGGGUAGUUUAUCUGGGGCGGAUUCCUCCCAAAAAGUAACGGAGGAGUGCGAAGGUCACCUCAGGCUGAUUGGAAACCAGCCGUCGAGCGUAAGAGCAUAAGGUGGCUUGACUGCGAGACUGACAAGUCGAGCAGGUACGAAAGUAGGCUUUAGUGAUCCGGUGGUCCCGCAUGGAAGGGCCAUCGCUCAUCGGACAAAAGGUACGCCGGGGAUAACAAAUGUUGUCCCGUUUGACAGGUAACUGUCAGACAAAGUAUAUGGCUUAUAACGGGGAAGCCCAAAUUUGUUGCGAUAUUAAGGGUAUCGCGCUGUCGUCACUUGAUGACAAAACAGAUGGGUAAUCCCGUGGGAAGUCGCGCGGCAUAGCUACGAAAUCAAAAAUAAAAGUGUAAAGAUCAAAAUUUUUGAGUUUUGAUUUUUGAGAUUUGGUCUUGUUGCGAAGCAGCGUUGACCCCGUAACGACUUCAUUCGUAAUGAAUGGGAUGGGUGUUACUUGUGAGAAAAAUUUCGCAAAAUCUAUGACAUCCAUAAUACGCCAUACUCCCACACGUUCAUGGAAAGUGCGGGAUGAUGAUAUAGUCUAUACUUAUCGAAAGAUAAGAUAAAUUGAACAGGCUGAUCGCUUCCAAGAGUUCAUAUCGACGAAGCGGUUUGGCACCUCGAUGUCGGCUCAUCACAUCCUGGGGCUGAAGCUGGUCCCAAGGGUUCGGCUGUUCGCCGAUUAAAGUGGUACGUGAGCUGGGUUCAGACCGUCGUGAGACAGGUCGGUCCCUAUCUGCCGUGGGCGUAGGAAACUUGAGGGGGGCUGUCCUUAGUACGAGAGGACCGGGAUGGACGCACCUCUGGUGUACCAGUUAUCGUGCCAACGGUAAGCGCUGGGUAGCCAUGUGCGGUGGUGAUAACCGCUGAAAGCAUCUAAGCGGGAAGCACGCCCCAAGAUUAGGUUUCCCCAUCAGACCACUCGAAGAUGACGAGUUUGAUAGGCGGGAGGUGGAAGCGCUGCGAGGCGUUUGAGCCAACCCGUACUAAUUGGUCGAUUGGCUUGGCCUU